GUACCAAGACACAAAAACUCAAGACAUAUUGAUGCCUGGUGCUAAGCCUAAUACAGUAAGUGUUUAUGAAAUAUAAAGAAAAAAGCUUAUCCCACAAGCUGACAUUCAAGUUUUAGAUCCUGACACCUAUCUAUGUACAACCUAUCCAGUUCUAGAAGAGGAGCUUUAUAUUUAUAAAUUUGAAGCUCUGGCCAAUGCUGCCACUGCACACCACAUGUUGCUGUAUGGAUGUGAUGGUGAACCUUUUUCUACAGACAGCAUCUGGUGUAGGUCUCAGGGUCGGCAGGAAAACAUCAAUUAAGACUAUUGUACUCCAGGUACACUACGCAAAGUUUUUGAAGACUCAGAACCUGCAGAUCACUCUGGACUUAAACUUUACACAACCCACCAAAAGCCUCAGUAUGUUGCUGGUAUAUUUUUAUUAGAUUCUGGGGACUUCACCAUUCUUCUACAUACUAAUUGUACAGUCAUAACUGGUUAUCAAUACAAUGGAACGUAUCAUGAAAUCGGUAAAGAAAAUCCACAAUGGCCACAAGCCUUCUAUCCAGUGAAGGAAGUAAUUGAAGUCAAACCAGGAGAUGCUUUAG